rnacentral:rRNA from 1 species
UACGUAGGGUGCAAGCGUUGUCCGGAAUUAUUGGGCGUAAAGAGCUCGUAGGCGGUUCGUCGCGUCGGCUGUGAAAUCCCGAGGCUCAACCUCGGGUCUGCAGUCGAUACGGGCGGACUGGAGUUCGGCAGGGGAGACUGGAAUUCCUGGUGUAGCGGUGAAAUGCGCAGAUAUCAGGAGGAACACCGGUGGCGAAGGCGGGUCUCUGGGCCGAUGACUGACGCUGAGGAGCGAAAGCAUGGGGAGCGAACAGG